rnacentral:pre_miRNA from 1 species
AACAUACUCCCUCCGUUCGGAAUUACUUGUCGCAGAAAUGGAUGUAUCUAGACGUAUUUUAGUUCUAGAUACAUCCAUUUCCGAGACAAGUAAUUCCGAACGGAGGGAGUAUUUU